AGAACGAACGCUGGCGGCAGGCUUAACACAUGCAAGUCGAGCGCCUCGCAAGAGGAGCGGCAGACGGGUGAGUAACGCGUGGGAACAUACCCUUCGGUUCGGAAUAAUUCAGGGAAACUUGGACUAAUACCGGAUACGGACGAGAGUCGAAAGAUUUAUCGCCGAAGGAUUGGCCCGCGUUCGAUUAGCUAGUUGGUGUGGUAACGGCGCACCAAGGCGACGAUCGAUAGCUGGUCUGAGAGGAUGAUCAGCCACAUUGGGACUGAGACACGGCCCAAACUCCUACGGGAGGCAGCAGUGGGGAAUAUUGGACAAUGGGCGCAAGCCUGAUCCAGCCAUGCCGCGUGAGUGAUGACGGCCUUAGGGUUGUAAAGCUCUUUCGCUAGGGACGAUAAUGACGGUACCUAGACAAGAAGCCCGGCUAACUUCGUGCCAGCAGCCGC
rnacentral:rRNA from 1 species